rnacentral:rRNA from 1 species
CAAGUCGAACGGUGGUAGCAAUACCACAGUGGCGAACGGCGGAGUAAUACGUGAACAACGUGCCUUGAAGACUGGGAUAGUCACUGGAAACGGUGGGUAAUACCGGAUGUGGCGCUUUUUCUGCAUGGGAAGAGCGUUAAAUGGUUUUUCGCUUCAAGAGCGGUUCACGGCCUAUCAGGUAGUUGGUGGGGUAAUGGCCUACCAAGCCGACGACGGGUAGCGGGUCUGAGAGGAUGAUCCGCUCGAGUGGGACUGAGACACGGCCCACACACCUACGGGUGGCAGCAGUUGGGAAUCUUGCACAAUGGGGGCAACCCUGAUGCAGCGACGCCGCGUGGAGGACGAAGGGUCUAGGCCUGUAAACUCCUUUUACCGGGAAAGACUUAGGACGGUACCCGGUGAAUAAGCCCCGGCUAACUACGUGCCAGCAGCCGCGGUAAGACGUAGGGGGCAAGCGUUGUCCGGAUUUACUGGGCGUAAAGCGCGCGUAGGCGGUCCGUUAAGUGCAAAAGUGAAAGCUCCAGGCUCAACUUGGAAAUUGCUUUGCAUACUGGCGGGCUGGAGGGACGCAGAGGUCUGUGGAAUUCCUGGUGUAACGGUGAAAUGUGUUGAUAUCAGGAGGAACACCCAUGGCGAAGGCAGCAGACUGGGCGUUUCCUGACGCUGAGGCGCGAAAGCGUGGGUAGCAAACAGAAUUAGAUACCCUGGUAGUCCACGCCCUAAACGAUGGAUACUAGGCGUCGGAGGUAUCGACCCCUCCGGUGCCGCAGCAAACGCAUUAAGUAUCCCGCCUGGGGAGUACGGCCGCAAGGUUGAAACUCAAAUGAAUUGACGGGGACCC